rnacentral:rRNA from 1 species
AAUGAACGUUGGCGGCGUGGAUUAGGCAUGCAAGUCGAGCGUGUACCCGCAAGGGGAAAGCGGCAAACGGGGUAGGAACGCGUAGGUCACGUACCCCUCGGCCGGGGAUAGCCACGGGAAACUGUGGGUAAUACCCGAUGACGCCGAGAGGCCAAAGGUGUGAUUCCGCCGGGGGAGCGGCCUGCGUAGUAUUAGCUAGUUGGUGAGGUAACGGCUCACCAAGGCGAAGAUGCUUAGGGGGUGUGAGAGCAUGACCCCCACCACUGGGACUGAGAUACUGCCCAGACACCUACGGGUGGCUGCAGUCGAGAAUCUUCGGCAAUGGGGGCAACCCUGACCGAGCGACGCUGCGUGUGGGAUGAAGGCCCUUGGGUUGUAAACCACUGUCAGAGGGGAUGAAACGAUCAUGGGUUCUCCCAUGGUCCUGACAUAGCCUCAGAGGAAGCACGGGCUAAGUUCGUGCCAGCAGCCGCGGUAAUACGAACUGUGCAAACGUUAUUCGGAAUCACGU